CUUGGAGAUGCAACCGGAACACCCGCGCGGACUUUCUUCAUUGAUUAUUCAAACGCGCCCGGAGACAGAUGCCUGUGUGGUGCCGAAUAAACAAGUAAUUGAAGCGUUCGCCAGAAUUCUGUGAGGAUUCAUCCUUUUUCUUCUACGCGCCGACUCGUUAUCUGGAGGCGUCUGGGAAUAACGUUUACCCGGAAGUGAAACGACCAAUACUGCCCGAGAUCUUAGCGGCGAUGAUGGCUCUGGCUGUCCUCCUGUUACCCCUGCUCGCCGCGUCCACGUACGCCGGACUCCUUGCACGGCCCGUCUACGAUGUCCUUCCCGUCGCUCACGGCCACGGUACGACGUUCCUCACACACCCCGCCGGGAGCUCGGCUGGCCACGGAAUCGUCUACGUGGGCUCUCCGGAGCAUCAACCUUUAGCCAGCUUUUCUCUCACGAAACAGCCGGUUUACGAACAGCGUUUCAUCACGCGGUCCGUACUGCACGCCGCGCCAGUUCCUAUCACGACAGUGUCAGAGAAUGUGAGGACGAAGGUGAAUAAGUACGGUGACGUGAGACUGAACGGUGUAUUUGGACCUUACGGAGGCGGUGGCCUGCAUUAUGGGGUCACCUACAUCGGCGGGGAGAAAGCUAAGAAUACGCUGCACUGAUGUAUCUAGUGUGUAGCAUGAUUAUUUGAUAGAAUAUUAUUUUGGGGGGUAGCGGUAUGAAUAUAAGGUAGAAUGGAUGAAAGG